CAGGUCAGAGAAGACUACCCGCUGGACUUAAGCAUAUCACUAAGCGGAGGAAAAGAAACUAACUAGGAUUCCCCCAGUAACUGCGAGUGAAGAGGGAAGAGCUCAUCAUUGGAAUCUGGCAGUGUUUUCACUGUCCGAGUUGUAGAUGAGGAGUAGUCCAUCUGGACUGCAUGGCGUCCAAGUACAAUAGGCCGUCAGUGGGACAUCAUAGAGGGUGACAAUCCCGUCCUUGAUGCCAAUGUGCAAGUCCGUUACGAUGGCUAUCUCAGAGAGUCGAGCAGUUUGGGAUUUGCUGCUUAAACAUGGGAGGUAGAUUCCUUCUAAAGCUAAAUACAGGCGAGAGACCGAUAGAGAACAAGUACCGCAAGGGAAAGAUGAAAUAGCACUCUGUGAAGGGAGUCAAAAGACGUGAAAUUGUUGCGAGAGAAGCGAUUCAAGUCAGCGUAGCUAGGCCCAUCAAGCCUCUUGCUUUGGACUAGCUUUGCCAGCGGUCUUGUCC
rnacentral:rRNA from 1 species